rnacentral:tRNA from 1 species
GCAAUGGUGGUUCAGUGGUAGAAUUCUCACCUUCCAUGUGAGUGACCAGGGUUCGAUUGCUAGCCACUGCA